rnacentral:rRNA from 1 species
UCGAGCGAUCUUCUUCGGAAGAGAGCGGCGGACGGGUGAGUAACGCGUGGGUAACCUGCCCUGUACACACGGAUAACAUACCGAAAGGUAUGCUAAUACGGGAUAACAUAAGAAAGUCGCAUGGAUUUCUUAUCAAAGCUUUUGCGGUACAGGAUGGACCCGCGUCUGAUUAGCUAGUUGGUAAGGUAACGGCUUACCAAGGCGACGAUCAGUAGCCGACCUGAGAGGGUGAUCGGCCACAUUGGAACUGAGACACGGUCCAAACUCCUACGGGAGGCAGCAGUGGGGAAUAUUGCACAAUGGGCGAAAGCCUGAUGCAGCAACGCCGCGUGAGCGAUGAAGGCCUUCGGGUCGUAAAGCUCUGUCCUCAAGGAAGAUAAUGACGGUACUUGAGGAGGAAGCCCCGGCUAACUACGUGCCAGCAGCCGCGGUAAUACGUAGGGGGCUAGCGUUAUCCGGAAUUACUGGGCGUAAAGGGUGCGUAGGCGGUCUUUCAAGUCAGAAGUGAAAGGCUACGGCUCAACCGUAGUAAGCUUUUGAAACUGUAAGACUUGAGUGCAGGAGAGGAGAGUGGAAUUCCUAGUGUAGCGGUGAAAUGCGUAGAUAUUAGGAGGAACACCAGUUGCGAAGGCGGCUCUCUGGACUGUAACUGACGCUGAGGCACGAAAGCGUGGGGAGCAAACAGG